AUCCAGCCAACGAGUCCGAAAUAGGACGAAACGUCCGUCCUGGAU
rnacentral:hammerhead_ribozyme from 1 species